CGAGCCGGGAGGCGGGGUCUGCGCCGCGCUUCCUCGGGGAGGGCGGGGCUUGCGCAGAAGCGCGCGCGAUCGGGGUGGGGCUGUUCCCCGGGGUGGGGGUGGGGGAAGGAGGCCCCCCGAGGGAAGGGGAGUGGCCAGCACCGCGCAGCCUCAGUACGCCUCCUGAAAAUUUUCCACUCAGGCUGCGGGCGCCAAGGCCGGCGAAGCGCGGGCACUCACUACACUGCGCAGAUGUCCUCUGCGCAGACCGCUUCUGCUCACCCAGCGCCCACGUGACGGGACUCACUAGAUUCCGCCUUCCUCUGGUGUGCGUGGCGGGAGGGAUGCAAGGGACUGGGUGCCGCAGCGGGGAGCCAGCGACACAGAAAACCUAGGGAGCCCUGGAAGACGGGGCUAAUCACGCACGGGGCCGCGAAGCCCGGUGCAGUUUGACGCGCGGGGCGGUGUAGGCACGCCCCGAGGCGGGAGAUAGAGCAGCCGCCCCAUUUGUAGGCCCUGGCGCGCGUGUUCCUGACGUAGGGAGCUGUACGGUGCAGGGCGUGCACCUGAGGGAGCAGGGGCCCGCAGGCGCUCGCACUCGUAGUCCUGACGUGGGCAGCAGUGCGGUGCAGGGCGUGCGCCUGAGAGAGCAGGGGCCCGCAGGCGCUCGCUUGCAGUAGUUCUGUUAAAUCCCCAGACUCCGGAGGAACUCCCCGAAGCUUUGCGGGGUGAUUCCAGAUGGUUCCCAGUGAGGAUUUAGGGCGCUUUGUUGAGGAGACAUUACGUAGACACUCCGCCUUUAUCUGGGAGGAAGCAUGGAUUACAGAAAUGCUGUGACUGUUUCAUCUGGUGGCAUUUUAGAUCUUUCUAGUAAUUGUAACCGCUUUUCUUUUGAGUCAUUCCAUUAAAGUCUUGGAAUGAAUAAAAAAAAAACAGGAACAGGGAAAUAAACACAAACAACACACACAUACCUCUGAGUUAGGAAAUUAAUCUUUUUUUGUCUUUCCUGGGAAGAAGUCUCCAAGAUGGUUGUGUUGAUGAGUUCAGAUUUCUUCACAGAUGUGCCCUAGGCCCUUUUCUCUCCCCCAAGUGGAGCAAAGGACAGAAUGACGAAAGUUGCUGAACCUAAAGGAUGCCUUCUUCCCACAUUUGUUCUAACUUCCCCAGAACUAUGAAUUUUAUUUGUUUUUUUAAAAUUUCCUGGAAUUAGAAGCAUUGUAAUUAAUGAGACUAGAUAAUACUUAGUUCUCAGGGUAGACACUAUUUCAAAUUAUUGUUUCUCUUUUUCUCCUAAGUCAGGGUCUUAUAUAGCUCGUUAUCCUUGAAUUUUCCAGGUAGCCUGCUUCCUACUUCUAAUUGCUGGGGUCACAGGUGUGCAACACAGCGCCCAGGCUUUCAAAUCCCUUAUUGUAAAUUUAAUUCAACACUGUAAAGUAGGGGCUGUUAACUCGUUACUUACCUAUUACAAAGAGAAACAUGAAGCUGGGCAUGGUGGCAUAGGCCUUCAAUUCCAGUACAGGAGAGGCAGAGGCAGG
rnacentral:lncRNA from 1 species